UACGUAGGGGGCAAGCGUUGUCCGGAUUUAUUGGGCGUAAAGAGCUCGUAGGCGGUUCAGCAAGUCGGAUGUGAAAAAUCUGGGCUCAACCCAGUGAAGCACCCGAUACUGCUGUGACUAGAGUCCGGUAGGGGAGUGUGGAAUUCCUGGUGUAGCGGUGAAAUGCGCAGAUAUCAGGAGGAACACCAACGGCGAAGGCAGCACUCUGGGCCGGUACUGACGCUGAGGCGCGAAAGCUGGGGGAGCGAACAGG
rnacentral:rRNA from 1 species